UUGCUUCAGCAGCAUAUACUUUAAAAUUGGAUCAAUAGCGGAUAAGCAUAAGCAUGGCUGCUGCCUCAGGAUGGCACACAAAUUCAUAGAGCAUUCCAUAUUUUG
rnacentral:snRNA from 1 species